CACCGAUACGCGCAUGCGCAUGCAAGCAGCGACGGAACAGUGAACGGUGUGUGAGCGCAACCGCGUGGCCAACAGGUGGAACUGAAAGUUAAGAAAAACUUAAAGUUGUGCGCCAUUUUGACUCCAUCGCCUGAAGCUGCUUACGAUGGAGGAUCAAUUCUAAGCACUGAAAUCCAGUUUCUGUUUGCUGAGUCAGUAGCUGACUGGGCGACUGCAGGACCUGCUGCCUCUGAAGUGGGUUCUAGUGGCUGUUGAGGUGGUUCUCAGACACGUACAGGAUGGAAUAAAUAAUCAAACGAUAUUUCAGAGUUAUUUAAGUCAAUUAAUGCAGAAAACUAUUUCCAUCAUAUUCAUAAAAAUAGAUUUGUUGCGUGUGUUAGGUUGGGAUAUUUUAGAAACGUAAGCUUAGGAUUUUUCAAAGAUUUCUCAGGUUGUCCACUAGAUGGCGACAUUCUUUUGAUUAUCUAGUAUACAGCAGAGGACAAAUCACUAUACAAAGAGUUCGUUACUGAUCAUAGAUCUUUCAUCAGUGCAACCAAGACUUGCGUAGAAACUGAAUCUAAACAUUGAAAUAUAUUUUGCUCCUCUAGGGUUUAUUUAGAAAAUAAUUUCAUCUGUAGGAUUAAUUGUACUGCAAGAUACAGCGCUGUGAAAAAGCGUUUGCCAUCCCAGAUUUAUUUUGUUUACUAGUGGUUUUGGCUUUGGAGUUCUCCUGUGGUGGCCAUUUUUGUUCAGCUUCUUUUUUAUUGUUAAACCUUUAACAACACAUGCAAGAGAGGUAUGUGGCACUUUAGAUGUUGUUUUGGGUUCUUUUGUGACUUUCUGGUUGAAUACUCAAUACAUUUUGAGUGAUUUUGAUUGACUAACCUGUCUUGGGAACCCCCACUGCUUGUGUAUGUUUUUUUGCCCUUGUGGGCUAUAGCUUAAACUUUUCUUAAUCACAGUUAAUUCAUACAAAAAAGGAGACAAACAGACUGCCAAAGUGAAAAAAGAUGCUAAGAGACAAACAAGUUAUACAAGACUGAAACAGUCAAAAUCCCCAACCAAUAACGGAUUUCCUUAUUUCUAUUCUGUGUACAUAAUCUGUUUGACCUGGUACGUGCCAAGGUAAACAAUCCAUACCCUUUCAUGUUUUGUCACGUUACCACCUGCAAACUGUGAUACAUUUAAAUGGGAAUUUACACGACCGAACAACACAAACUGUUAAAAUGAAGAAAAUUUUGAUAAGGCUUUCAAAAAUGUUAAAAAAUACAAUCUGGAAACUGCAGUCACUAACAAAAUUGCUCUAUUUAGACCUUAGUCCUUCCUCCCAUCAAUCCCGACUGGCUUCAGUGUGUCUGCUGAAAAACUGGAUCCCCAAAGAAGGAUGUUUAUGUUUUGUACUCUAACCCUGCUUUAAAGUUCCCAUUAACUGUAUUCUUAGUCUUUUGACUGGGUUCCUUUCCAUGAUGCAGUUUGGUCCCUAAUGUUCUCUAAUAUCUGAUGCCCUCAUAGUACAGCUAUUUGUUUCGACCAUAAAUUACACAUAGCUGGUUUUUGUUACUGAUAAAUAAAAUUACUUACUUAUUUCAUUUAGAAAUAAUGACAUGCUUAGUUAAAACAUAACUGCUUUAACCUGAACAAAGUACUUAAGAAAACAUUAAGCAAAAAAAAAAAAAAGACACACAUGAAGAUUAACAAAAACUUUUGUAAGUUUCAUCAGCUAGGUCAACUAGCUGCCAUGCCAACUAGAACCUAGUUGGCAUGUUUACUUGUAAUGUAAUGUUUAUUAUUAAUAUUUUAACAUGAAAUCUGAAGUGAAUUUAUUCAAGCCAAAUAGUUGUAAAAAUCACUAAAUGCUAGUUUAACAGUGAAUGGGCUUCUCCGAAAUUAAACUCCGAAAUUCAACAAUAGACCUGUUUAUUUUUUUUAACUAGUUCAAUUGCUUACCAUCCUGUGCAUAAAAUAAGAUGUAAAACCUAAAAACAAAGUACAAUUAAUUUCUCUAAAAAACAUGCACUACUUCUGUUAUGCAGUUAAAAGUAAAAACUCAAAUCUAGGUUUCCUUUGAAACACUGAAACAUAUCAAUACUAACAAUUUUUAUAUAUUUUCAGCUACAUGUAUAUGCUUGUACAUUCAAAGAAUUAUUAGGAAAAUGUUAUCAAAUUAUUGCAUCUCUCCUUAUUUUUAAUUGAAUUGAAUGAAGAAGCAAUUGAUGACUGAUGACAGAGACAGAAAUAGUGGCACACCCUUUGAUCUUACCUUUGAUCCUGGCAGAGCAGUGCUAAGUUCAACUUGAUCUGAGCUCUCAGUAGUUCCGGAUGUACAUUUGAGAAGCACCAUAUCACAGUGACAAAUUGAUAAAAAAGUAUGAGACAAACCUGUUUGUUAAGUGAUCCACUGAGUUUCUGUUCUGUGAUCCUAAAUAAGACAAACUCUAGAAAAGGUGAAGGAAAGAAAAAAACCGAGCUGCACUGCUUUAGUCUAUGAAGAUGUUUAUGAAAUAGUGUUGCAUCAAACAAAUCGCAUCGAGGAUCAGAAUUAAAUCCCUAACACAUAUAAAAAAUGAAAAACACAGAACAAAACUGAUGCAUAUUCCGUUAAGAACUGUUAGUGGUAAAUAACCAAAUUCAUUCUCAUUCAGAAGGCCUUACUGCAAUUAAAGACUGUUUCUAUUCAAAAUGUCCAUACUUUUCCAUACUCAAAUUUCGAAAUUUCCCAAUUCAUUUCAUUCCAUAACUAUAAAAGGUCACUAUGACCAUUACAGUGGUCAGGCUUUAAAUAAUUAAUCAGAUUAAAAAAGCAAACAAACAUGGAUAGGUGGAUGGAUGGAUGGAUGGAUGGAUGGAUGGAUAGGUGGAUGGAUGGAUGGAUGGAUGGAUGGAUGGAUGGACGGACGGAAAAAAGUCUAAAAAUACUGAUUGGUGAAAAAAGCACUGUGUAUGAUGCUUACAGGAGCUGUUGGAAAACAAUAUUUGUUCAUCAUUUGGAAAAAAUACAUGAUUCAAAUAUUGUUUCUAUAAAUUACAGAACUUGACAUUUCAUAAUAUUUUGUUGUUUUUACUUUUAAUUGAAUUCAACAAAAAACUACCUGCCUCUAACAAUCCUACUGUGAAAAAAAGAAAAGAACAAAAAACAAUAUAAAUCUUCUGGCUGACCAAAUUUUGUUCCCAUCUAGCAAUAUUCUCUGUUUUUCUUCACCAUUUUCACUGCUGUCUGUGGCAACAAAAGGAAGACAGGCAGUCUUUACAAAACAUGGCAAACAUGAGGUGCUCAGAGUGAGACGCCCAUUCCCAGUGGACCCUGAGUUCACACGCACCAUCACAUGAUUUCUGACCAAUCCCCAGUGAUUUUCACUGGGACUGGGCUGUACUGGGCUGGACCCCCCACAUUAGCGGUUGUGUCAGUCAUAACACACAGCAGGGUUGGCGUGACAAAAAAUGAGAAACAUCCUACAUACCUGAACACCUGCACCUGUAUACAAAGAUCCUGUGGUGAGAGAUUUGGAGGGACUACACUUAAAGAGAGGCAUGGCUUCCAGUCACUCACUGAAGUGCAGUUCCACAUUUUUGCAGUAUUACAACCACAAAUGUAUCACUAUAUUUUAUUGAGAUUUUUUUUAUGACAGACUGAUAGAAAGUGGUAGACAACCACGAGGAGUAUUUCAGGUACAUUUGUAUUUAAUCCCCAUAUGAGCCAAUACACAGUAAAAAACUCUCUGGCUUUAAUAACAGCUGUAAGUCUUCUAAGGUAUGUCUCUACCAGUUUUGCACAAGAUAAGACUGAAAUUUUUUAGCAUUCCUUUUUGCAAAGUCAAGCUCAGUCUGAGUUGAUGGAGAGCAUCUGCAAACAGAAAUUUUCAACUCUUGUCACAGAUUCUAUUAGAUUAGGCCUAGACUUUGACUUGACCAUUCUAACAUAAAUACGCGUUAAUUUAAACAAUUCUGUUGUAUCUUUGGUAGUAUGCUAAAGGUCACUGUCCACCUUUCUCGUCUUUUGCAACCUAUAACAGGUCUUCUUCCAGGACUUCUUCCAGCAUUGGCCUAUAUUGAGCUACAUUGAUCUUCCAAUUAACUCUGACUAAUUUUCUUGUCCCUUCUGAAGAGAAGUAUCCUCCUAACAUCAUACACCAUGGGUAUGAUAGGGUCACGGUGAUGGACAGUGUUCCCACACAUCCAGAAUUCUGCAUGUAAGCCAUAAAGUUACAUUUUGGUCUCAACUGAUCAAACACCUUCUUUCACAUGGUUGUUGUAUCUCCAUGGUGGCUCAAGGAAAACUUUGAAUGGGUCUUGACCUUCUUCCAUAAAAGCUAGACUAGUGGAGCGCAAAACUAAUAGCAGUCCUAUAGACAGAUUUUCCCAUUAGAGCAGUGAACUUCAACUUAGUUACUCAAGGUCUCUUGACUGUUUUUUUAAAUUAAGUCUUUCCUUGUCACUCAUCAUUUUGCAAGAAUGGCCAUGUUGUGUUACAUAAGGUUUGGCAUAUUGGUUUAAACUUUUACAUAACAGCUAAUAAAAAUAUAAAAUGUAAAGUUACAAAAUGUGUCAUUAUUUUUAACCUUUACAACAAUGUAUUACUUUGUGUCAUUCCAUCUGUCAUGAUUUGAGUUUCUCUUUGGUCAGUUUAAUUAAUUUAGUCCUUGUGUUGUUCCUGUUCUCCGUUACUUGAUUAUCUCCUCGUGUAUUUCAGUUCACCUGUUCUUCCUAUGCUUGUUGGUUCCUGCUUGUUGGAAUGAUGUUGUUUGCUUUCUGGUCGCUCUGCUGAGCCCAUUCGAGUUCUCAGUUUUUGUUGUGGAGUUGUGGUUCUACCAUUAAAGAGAACCUUUUCCCAUCUUA